rnacentral:rRNA from 1 species
AGACGCUGGCGGCGGCCUAACACAUGCAAGUCGAGCGGCAGCGACAACAUUGACCCUUCGGGGGAUUUGUUGGGGGAAGAGAAGGAAAGAAGAAGGUGGCUUCGGCUACCACUUACAGAUGGACCCGCGGCGCAUUAGCUAGUUGGUGAGGUAAUGGCUCACCAAGGCAACGAUGCGUAGCCGACCUGAGAGGGUGAUCGGCCACACUGGGACUGAGACACGGCCCAGACUCCUACGGGAGGCAGCAGUAGGGAAUCUUCCGCAAUGGACGAAAGUCUGACGGAGCAACGCCGCGUGAGUGAUGAAGGUUUUCGGAUCGUAAAGCUCUGUUGUUAGGGAAGAACAAGUACCGUUCGAAUAGGGCGGUACCUUGACGGUACCUAACCAGAAAGCCACGGCUAACUACGUGCCAGCAGCCGCGGUAAUACGUAGGUGGCAAGCGUUGUCCGGAAUUAUUGGGCGUAAAGGGCUCGCAGGCGGUUUCUUAAAUCUGAUGUGAAACCCCCGGCUCAACCGGGGGAG